rnacentral:rRNA from 1 species
UGACCUACGGGGGGCAGCAGUGGGGAAUAUUGGGCAAUGGGCGCAAGCCUGACCCAGCAACGCCGCGUGAAGGAAGAAGGCUUUCGGGUUGUAAACUUCUUUUCUCAGGGACGAACAGAUGACGGUACCUGAGGAAUAAGCCACGGCUAACUACGUGCCAGCAGCCGCGGUAAUACGUAGGUGGCAAGCGUUAUCCGGAUUUACUGGGUGUACAGGGCGUGUAGGCGGGGACGCAAGUCAGAUGUGAAAACCACGG